ACGAACGCGGCGGCGUGCUUAACACAUGCAAGUCUAAGGAGAAAGUUCCUUCGGGAGCAAGUAAACUGGCGAACGGGUGAGUAACGCGUAGGUAACCUACCCUUAAGCUCGGGAUAACCCACCGAAAGGUGAGCUAAUACCGGAUAAUAUCUUUCCUCAUAAGGGGUAAAGAUCAAAGGUGGCUUCGGCUAUCACUUAUGGAUGGGCCUGCGUCUGAUUAGCUAGUUGGUGAGGUAAUGGCUUACCAAAGCAAUGAUCAGUAGCUGGUCUGAGAGGGCGAUCAGCCACAUUGGGACUGAGAUACGGCCCAGACUCCUACGGGAGGCAGCAGUGGGGAAUUUUGCGCAAUGAGCGAAAGCUUGACGCAGCAACGCCGCGUGAUCGAAGAAGCUCUGCGGAGUGUAAAGAUCUGUCAUAGGGGAAGAUAAGUUCCGUUAUUAACACCAUCGGGAUGUGACGGUACCCUAUAAGAAAGCCCCGGCUAACUUCGUGCCAGCAGCCGCGGUAAUACGAGGGGGGCAAGCGUUGUCCGGAUUUAUUGGGCGUAAAGAGUUCGUAGGCUGGUUGGUCAGUCGAAAUUGAAAUCCCACGGCUUAACCGUGGUUCCGGUUUCGAUACUGCCAAUCUUGAGUGAGGUAGAGGUAAGCGGAAUUCCUGGUGUAGCGGUGAAAUGCGUAGAUAUCAGGAGGAACACCAAAGGCGAAGGCAGCUUACUGGACCUAUACUGACGCUGAGGAACGAAAGCGUGGGGAGCGAACAGGAUUAGAGACCCUGGUAGUCCACGCCGUAAACGAUGAGUACUUGGUGGUGGGGGAUUCGACCCCUUCACUGUCGGAGCUAACGCGUUAAGUACUCC
rnacentral:rRNA from 1 species